rnacentral:lncRNA from 1 species
GUUUUUUUUUAUUUUUUAUUUUUUAUUAUUAUUUUACACAAUAUACUUUUCAGUAUCCAAAUAAUUGUUUUGUACACUACUUUGUAAUGUUUUUCACUGAAAACGUAGCAUUGAGGUGUAUUUUCCGGAAUAUGCCUAGUAUCACCGGAAUGCCAUGCGAUAACGUUACGGGAAGGCAUGUGAUAACAAUCGAAGCAUGUGAUAAACUUUUCAUAUCAGCCCGCUAAGCACCAAUUCGAAAAAUAUGGAAUUUACGUAAAUUUAAUGCUAUUAUCAUACAGUAAAAUUUAUAUGUUAUUUAGUCUAAGUAUAUGAUAAA